AAAUUGAAGAGUUUGAUCAUGGCUCAGAUUGAACGCUGGCGGCAGGCCUAACACAUGCAAGUCGAACGGUAGCACAGAGAGCUUGCUCUCGGGUGACGAGUGGCGGACGGGUGAGUAAUGUCUGGGAAACUGCCUGAUGGAGGGGGAUAACUACUGGAAACGGUGGCUAAUACCGCAUAACGUCGCAAGACCAAAGAGGGGGACCUUCGGGCCUCUUGCCAUCAGAUGUGCCCAGAUGGGAUUAGCUAGUUGGUGAGGUAACGGCUCACCAAGGCGACGAUCCCUAGCUGGUCUGAGAGGAUGACCAGCCACACUGGAACUGAGACACGGUCCAGACUCCUACGGGAGGCAGCAGUGGGGAAUAUUGCACAAUGGGCGCAAGCCUGAUGCAGCCAUGCCGCGUGUAUGAAGAAGGCCUUCGGGUUGUAAAGUACUUUCAGCGGGGAGGAAGGUGU
rnacentral:rRNA from 1 species